AGGAGGAACAGCCCCAGUGGCGGGGCCAGCUCUGGAAACCUGGAUUCAGCUCCCACAGUAACUCCGGAGCUCUCCGUCUGCAGGGCCUGGAGGCUCCGGGCGGGG
rnacentral:pre_miRNA from 1 species